rnacentral:rRNA from 1 species
UACGGGAGGCAGCAGUGGGGAAUAUUGGACAAUGGGCGAAAGCCUGAUCCAGCAAUGCCGCGUGAGUGAUGAAGGCCCUAGGGUUGUAAAGCUCUUUUACCCGGGAUGAUAAUGACAGUACCGGGAGAAUAAGCUCCGGCUAACUCCGUGCCAGCAGCCGCGGUAAU